rnacentral:rRNA from 1 species
UACGGAGGAUGCGAGCGUUAUCCGGAUUUAUUGGGUUUAAAGGGUGCGUAGGCGGUCCGGAAAGUCAGCGGUAAAAGCCCGGGGCUCAACCCCGGCGAGCCGUUGAAACUGUCGGACUAGAGACGGCGAGAAGUAUGCGGAAUGCGCGGUGUAGCGGUGAAAUGCAUAGAUAUCGCGCAGAACUCCGAUUGCGAAGGCAGCGUACCGGCGCCGGACUGACGCUGAGGCACGAAAGCGUGGGUAUCGAACAGG